rnacentral:snRNA from 1 species
GUAAUCAUUUUGGCAGCACAUUCACUAAUGAUGCAGAGAAGAUUAGCAUGGCCCUGAGUAAGGAUGGCACACAGAUCCACGAAGCGCUCCAUGUUUUA